UACGGAGGAUCCGAGCGUUAUCCGGAUUUAUUGGGUUUAAAGGGUGCGUAGGCGGCGAGUUAAGUCAGCGGUAAAAGCCCGGGGCUCAACCCCGGCGAGCCGUUGAAACUGGCAGACUUGAGUUGGCGAGAAGUACGCGGAAUGCGCGGUGUAGCGGUGAAAUGCAUAGAUAUCGCGCAGAACUCCGAUUGCGAAGGCAGCAUACCGGCGCCCGACUGACGCUGAGGCACGAAAGCGUGGGGAUCGAACAGG
rnacentral:rRNA from 1 species